CCAAAAAGAUAAAUGAUCUCAGGGUUGGUUUCAUCACGGCAAAGGCCAACGCUCCCUUCUACCACCAUUUGUGCUUCUAGUAGUAUUAAAGUUUAAAAGUAAGUUGUACAAAUGACCUGCUGGAGCUUCUAUCUCCCAAAUGGCAAGUCGAAAAGGAACAACUCUGAUAUAUCACAGCUUGGAGUUAGAGAGAAACUUGAUUCGCCAGGCUGUUACACUAGAUUUAUUAGUUGCUGUAUUUCUCUAGCGUCAACUGAUGUUCCAUAAGCCUGAGCCUCCGGGGUUUCGGGUGGCCUCUCCCCCCCCCGGCAGCUGAUGGAAAAGUGUUUGGAUGCCGGUCUAUUCAUGUGAGGGUGUUAAACACAACAGAUUAAGACGCUCUGCAAACCUCCAAAGCUAGCAUUAGGCCACUUAUCAUAUUAGUUUGGCUAUACUAAUCCAUCUGAUAUGGUGUGUCUGCUUCCACUCCCAUGCUCCACCUUCGACAUGGUAACAACUCUGUAACACGAGCGGCAUCAAAGCACGUAAACGUGGAGAACUUCAGCAUCCUGGAUUCCUGCGCUAAACCCGGUUUUGGCUUCCACUUUGUGCUGGGACGGGGGAACCUAAAUCUGCACAUGCCUUGGCAUUUCACACAGCAGCAAGCUUAAACACUUGUUCAGCACUGCUUGUUGUAGUGUGUGUGAGGUAAACAGGUGUAAGUCUGAAGGAGUUUCGAGUCAGUUCAUGUAGUGAAAGGUCAAAUGACUGAUUUCUGUUAAAGGUGCCUGGUCUUAAGCUUCAUGAUGCCAUGUGGAAGUGAAAUAUGACUGAGGAUGGCUUAAUGAUUGGUUAACAGUGAUAUGAAUACACUUUGGGAUGUUACUAAAGAUACUGAAGUAUCAAUAUCCACAUAUGUUUAGUCAGAUAUUCUGUAUCGGCAUAGUGGUCAUAGUUGGAGGAUGACACUGCUCACUGAGCUUUGCCUACUAUAUCACAUUGCAAACAACGUGUCACACUUAACCUUUAUUGAUUUAUAUCAGUAAAUGUUGCUUAAACUACCAUCAAAUCCUUGCAAAGCACUUCCAUAUAAAACCUCUAACCUACUCUCCUGUUAAACAGCGCAAGGCUGAUUACACCUUUACACCUUACUUAACCUAAGUUGUUUUUUUUUAACUACCUUUUAUAUUGCAGCCACCAUCUAGAUCAUUUACUUCAUUUUCAUAGCAGCGGUACAAAUAAUUACAGGCACCUAGAAUCAGCUGAAUGUCAUACCUGAAGCAAGCACAUGCUUCCUGAUAUUACGAGUGGAAGAAAAAAGAUGAGCGUCAGGUGGAGAGAAUCGUCAAUGUGCUCCUCAGCACCUUGUGUUUCUCUACAUCUGCAGUCCCUGAUAAAACUCACAACAUCCUCCUUAAUGCCCUCCACCACCUAUUCGUCAUGGCCUCACGCCCUGCCAUUCAGAGUACACCUUGAGACAGACCAUCAGUCCCGAUGAUGAAGAAUGUCACAUCCAGAUGACCCACUCUUCAGCCCUGAGCCUUGGCUGAGUUGCUGCUCCUCCUCCUUAACCCUGUACCUAAGCUGGCCACAGAAAAGAACAGUUGGGACAAACGUGUCUUCAAUGGACCAACACCACGGGGACAUCAUUCUGCAGAGCAAGCCAGCCGGCCCGCUGGGGAUUCACUAAUGUGUGUGCCAUUGUUUCUCUGAGUAUGAUGGUGCUGCAUGUUGUUUUAACGGCUUAAACCUUCCCAAUGAGCCCUUUGUGUGAGGAUCUUACCCUUAGCUGGCUCUUGCCCUCGGGUGAUGUUGGACAAGAUGGAGUGCUUUAAAGCCCUGGGCUCUGUGGCAAUUAUGGACCCUUGAGUCUAUUAUCCUCUGAUCGAGA
ensembl:lncRNA